UAAUACGGAGGUGGCAAGCGUUGCUCGGAAUCACUGGGCGUAAAGGGCGCGUAGGCGGGGAGGUAAGUCGGGUGUGAAAUCCCUCGGCCCAACUGAGGAACUGCGCCCGAGACUGCUUCUCUUGAGUCCCGGAGAGGAAGAUGGAAUUCCCGGUGUAGCGGUGAAAUGUGUAGAGAUCGGGAGGAACACCGGUGGCGAAGGCGCCGCUCUGGGCCGAAACUGACGCUGAGGAGCGAAAGCGUGGGUAGCAAACAGGAUUAGAUACCCUGGUAGUCCACGCCGUAAACGUUGGGCACUAGGUGUGGGCUCUAACCAACGGAGUCCGUGCCGUCGCUAACGCAUUAAGUGCCCCGCCUGGGGAGUACGGCCGCAAGGCUA
rnacentral:rRNA from 1 species